ACAUGCCUACAACAUAGCGUUAAUGCAAUGGAUCUCAUUAGAACUCUGCAGUUAAGCGCGCUCAGGAUAGAGUAGUCACUGGAUGGGUGACCACCUAGGAAGUCCUAGUGUUUUACAUGCC
rfam:Picea glauca, whole genome shotgun sequence.